GAUGAACGCUAGCGGCAGGCCUAAUACAUGCAAGCUGAACGGUAAAUGUUAUAGCAAUAUGAUAUGAGAGUAGCGUAAGGGUGCGUAACACGUAUGCAAUCUGCCCGCAACAGGAGGAUAGCUCCCCGAAAGGGGAAUUAAUACUCCAUAAUAUCACGAGAGGGCAUCUGAUUGUGAUUAAACUCCAAGGGGUUGCGGAUGAGCAUGCGUCUGAUUAGUUAGUUGGUGAGGUAACGGCUCACCAAGGCGAUGAUCAGUAGGGGAACUGAGAGGCUGAUCCCCCACACUGGCACUGAGAUACGGGCCAGAGUCCUAUGGGAGGCAGCAGUAGGGAAUAUUGGUCAAUGGGUGAGAGCCUGAACCAGCCAUGCCGCGUGCAGGAAGACGGCCUUCUGGGUUGUAAACUGCUUUUGUCAGGGGAUAAAAUACCCGUGCGCGGGGAAUUGAAGGUACCUGAUGAAUAAGCCACGGCUAACUACGUGCCAGCAGCCGCCGUAACAC
rnacentral:rRNA from 1 species